rnacentral:lncRNA from 1 species
UUUCAGGCUCAGCAAAGGAUGCUCCUAUAGUUACUCCAUUAAUGGAUUAUAUACGUCAGAAAAGAGCUGCGAAGAGUGGAGCUCGGGUAGGAAAUUUUCCUGUUUCGAAAUUCCCAAUGUUGGGAUUUUCAAACUUUACUAGCAAAGAACUAGUUGCUGUCUGUUUUUGUCGAGGUGCAACUUUCUACUUGUAGGUGCUC